rnacentral:rRNA from 1 species
AGUGAACGCUGGCGGUAGGCCUAACACAUGCAAGUCGAACGGCAGCACAGUAAGAGCUUGCUCUUACGGGUGGCGAGUGGCGGACGGGUGAGGAAUACAUCGGAAUCUACUUUUUCGUGGGGGAUAACGUAGGGAAACUUACGCUAAUACCGCAUACGACCUACGGGUGAAAGCAGGGGAUCUUCGGACCUUGCCCGUUUCAAUGAGCCGAUGUCGGAUUAGCUAGUUGGCGGGGUAAAGGCACACCAAGGCGACGAUCCGUAGCUGGUCUGAGAGGAUGAUCAGCCACACUGGAACUGAGACACGGUCCAGACUCCUACGGGAGGCAGCAGUGGGGAAUAUUGGACAAUGGGCGCAAGCCUGAUCCAGCCAUACCGCGUGGGUGAAGAAGGCCUUCGGGUUGUAAAGCCCUUUUGUUGGGAAAGAAAAGCAGCAGGUUAAUACCCCGCUGUUCUGACGGUACCCAAAGAAUAAGCACCGGCUAACUUCGUG